rnacentral:rRNA from 1 species
GAUGAACGCUCGCGGCAGGCUUAAUACAUGCAAGUCGUGGGGCAGCAGGACUGUAGCAAUACAGUUGCUGGCGACCGGCAAACGGGUGCGGAACACGUACGCAACUUACCUUGAACUGGGGGAUAGCCCGGGGAAACCCGGAUUAAUACCCCGUAAUAUAAUGGGGUGGCAUCAUUUUAUUUUUAAAGCUCCGGCGGUUCGGGAUGGGCGUGCGGCUGUUUAGGUAGUUGGUUGAGGUAACGGCUCACCAAGCCUACGAUCAGUAACGGGUGUGAGAGCACGACCAGUCACACGGGCACUGAGACGCGGGCCCGACUCCUACGGGAGGCAGCAGUAAGGAAUAUUGGGCAAUGGAGGCAACUCUGACCCAGCCAUGCCGCGUGGAGGAUGAAGGCCCUCUGGGUUGUAAACUUCUUUUAUAGGGGACGAAACCUGUGUAUUCUUACGCAGUUGACGGUACCCUAGGAAUAAGCACCGGCUAACUCCGUG